GACGAACGCUGGCGGCGUGCUUAACACAUGCAAGUCGAACGGAAAGGCCCUGCUUUUGUGGGGUGCUCGAGUGGCGAACGGGUGAGUAACACGUGAGUAACCUGCCCUUGACUUUGGGGUAACUUCAGGAAACUGGGGCUAAUACCGGAUAGGAGCUCCUGCUGCAUGGUGGGGGUUGGAAAGUUUCGGCGGUUGGGGAUGGACUCGCGGCUUAUCAGCUUGUUGGUGGGGUAGUGGCUUACCAAGGCUUUGACGGGUAGCCGGCCUGAGAGGGUGACCGGCCCCAUAGGGCCUGGGAUACGGCCCGGACGCAUACGGGAGGAAUCGGUGGGGAACAUUGCGCAAUGGGCGGAGGCCUGAUGCAGGAACGCCGCGUGCGGAUGACGGCCUUCGGGUUGUAAACCGCUUUCGCCUGUGACGAAGCGUGAGUGACGGUAAUGGGUAAAGAAGCACCGGCUAACUACGUG
rnacentral:rRNA from 1 species